GCUUAGACAAUCAACAAGAUAAUAAAUCAAGCUGUGACUUGUAACAUUUGCAGAUUUCCAAGGUGGAAGUGUCCACACUGCAAAUUCAACAACUUGUUUUGGAGAACUAAUAUGAACUAGCUGCAGAGGCGUACUACUCCAUGAAAAGUAUACAGGUACUCCAGACUUUGACUUCACUUCAAGCUGGGACUUUGGCUCUUGUACUGCUUCUUGGAGGACUACUCCUGGAUCUUCUCCUUUGGACUUCAGUGUUGGAGGAUUUUGCCUUGGGUGGAAUAAGAGUCUCUUAAGUGUCCUUGCGCCUGACCCUGAAGGGAAAUUCACAUUUGAGCUUCAUACCAUCACUGAAGAUACUUCUGUAGCUGAACAGUUUUGAACCUGUAUUGGUGAGUUUUCCCAUCUAUUAUUUUAACACUGUCUUAAGUCUUUUAGGAUUG
rnacentral:lncRNA from 1 species